rnacentral:tRNA from 1 species
CCCUUGGUAGUCUAGUUGGUUAUGGCGUUCGGCUGUAAUUGUAAAGCAUGAUUGUUACCGAAAAGUCACCGGUUCGAUUCCGGUCCGAGGGA